rnacentral:tRNA from 1 species
GCUCUCGUAGCUCAAUUGGCAGAGCAGGCGACUCUUAAUCGUCUGGUUACAGGUUCGAGUCCUGUCGGGAGCA